GGGUCCUUAGCUUAAAUAGGUAGAGUUUCUAAUUGUCGCUUAGUAAGGUACCAGUUCGAAUCUGGUAGGACUCG
rnacentral:tRNA from 2 species